UUUGUAAUGUAAGACAUUUAUUUUGGUUACAACUUUAGAGUGCGUUAACACUGGUGGUAGACUAGAGGCUAAACUUUACUUUUCCUCCCGGAUGGCAGGACCUCCCAUGCCUGGCAGGUGACAGUGCUCUGCCUCGCCCCACCAUCCCCUGCCCUCUGAACCUCUUCGGUCCACUGAAUCACUUUUUACGAGUUAACCUAACACUGGCAAAGGAAAGUGGAAUACAAGUUAAAUAUCCAACCAUUCUCUCUAUGCUAUGAUCAGGACAAAGCCUGUAAAAGAAUUAUGAAAAAGACAAUUUCCUGUGAGAAAAUCUCUUAUCCUCGUAUUAUAAGAUCAGUGCUUAUCUUGAUUAAAACAUUUAGCAUCUUAAAUACUAUGAGCAACUUAAGAGUGCAGGAGUCCAGAAGAGCCUUAGUAUGGGCCAAGAGUUCCCUCAUUUGGUAAGUGUUAGUCUGUGCUCUCAAGACAAUAGAACAGCGAAGAAACAGACCUACCCCUGGAAAAGGCAGGCAGACUUUAGAAGAUUGAGAAGAGAAACCAUUUUUACGUUUAUAAUUUUUACCUGGAUGUUUAUAAGUCACAGAAAGUGGCUGGGUCUGA
rnacentral:lncRNA from 1 species